rnacentral:lncRNA from 1 species
GUCACCUCAGGCUUAGGCCCACAGUCUUCUUGGGAACCUGUGUAAAACAUGACCUUCACUUCAUCUUAGUGCCUCUAUGUUCCUCAUUAACCGUUCAGCAGCAGGACCAGUCUUUGUCAUGUUGAUUCACUAAGUCUCUGGGCUUCCAUUUGUUUGUUACCUGCCUCUAUUUUCUCUCAUCAGGUACUUAGAUCAUCACGGCAGGCACCAUAACAGCAUUCUGCUCCACAAGGCUUACUCUCAAUGGGCCCCUCGGAUGCGACCAUAAUAUCUUGUAAUUCAUAUGUGGAACUCUCCACUGUAAUUGCUCUGCUCUCAUUAGACCAUGUGGGGAAGGACAAAGAGGAGCAGCUCAGUUGGAGGAAAUGAGCAUCGUUGUUGAUUAUCAGAGACAAAAGAUGGAGACCCUCCAUUGUUACCAGUCAAUGGGACAGCAAAUGGGAGCAAACAGCCAACUCUACAAAAACAGAUGCAAGCA